rnacentral:rRNA from 1 species
UACAAGCAGUGGGAGCACCCUUUGGGGUGUGACUGCGUACCUUUUGUAUAAUGGGUCAGCGACUUAUAUUCUGUAGCAAGGUUAACCGUAUAGGGGAGCCGUAGGGAAACCGAGUCUUAACCGGGCGUUAAGUUGCAGGGUAUAGACCCGAAACCCGGUGAUCUAGCCAUGGGCAGGUUGAAGGUUGGGUAACACUAACUGGAGGACCGAACCGACUAAUGUUGAAAAAUUAGCGGAUGACCUGUGGCUGGGGGUGAAAGGCCAAUCAAACCGGGAGAUAGCUGGUUCUCCCCGAAAGCUAUUUAGGUAGCGCCUCGUGAAUUCAUCUCCGGGGGUAGAGCACUGUUUCGGCUAGGGGGCCAUCCCGGCUUACCAACCCGAUGCAAACUGCGAAUACCGGAGAAUGUUAUCACGGGAGACACACGGCGGGUGCUAACGUCCGUCGUGAAGAGGGAAACAACCCAGACCGCCAGCUAAGGUCCCAAAGUCAUGGUUAAGUGGGAAACGAUGUGGGAAGGCCCAGACAGCCAGGAUGUUGGCUUAGAAGCAGCCAUCAUUUAAAGAAAGCGUAAUAGCUCACUGGUCGAGUCGGCCUGCGCG